rnacentral:rRNA from 1 species
UACGUAGGGUGCGAGCGUUAAUCGGAAUUACUGGGCGUAAAGCGUGCGCAGGCGGUUUGCUAAGACAGGUGUGAAAUCCCCGGGCUUAACCUGGGAACUGCGCUUGUGACUGGCAGGCUAGAGUACGGCGGAGGGGGUGGAAUCCUGGUGUAGCAGUGAAAUGCGUAGAUAUCAGGAGGAACACCGAUGGCGAAGGCAGCCCCUGGGCCUGUACUGACGCUCAUGCACGAAAGCGUGGGGAGCAAACAGGAUUAGAUACCCU